rnacentral:rRNA from 1 species
GACAGAGGAGGCGAGCGUUGUUCGGAAUCACUGGGCUUAAAGCGCGUGUAGGCGGCCCGGAAAGUGUCGUGUGAAAGCCCGCGGCUCAACCGCGGAACGGCACGGCAAACUUCCGGGCUUGAGGUCGGUAGAGGUGCCUGGAACUCUCGGUGGAGCGGUGAAAUGCGUAGAUAUCGAGAGGAACGCCAGAGGCGAAAGCGGGGCACUGGGCCGAUACUGACGCUGAGACGCGAAAGCGUGGGGAGCAAACAGG